rnacentral:rRNA from 1 species
GACCGAGCAACGCCGCGUGAACGAUGAAGUAUUUCGGUACGUAAAGUUCUUUUAUUAGGGAAGAAUAAAUGAUGGAAAAAUCAUUCUGACGGUACCUAAUGAAUAAGCCCCGGCUAACUAUGUGCCAGCAGCCGCGGUAAUACAUAGGGGGCAAGCGUUAUCCGGAAUUAUUGGGCGUAAAGGGUGCGUAGGCUGUUAAAUAAGUUUAUGGUCUAAGUGCAAUGCUCAACAUUGUGAUGCUAUAAAAACUGUUUAGCUAGAGUAAGAUAGAGGCAAGUGGAAUUCCAUGUGUAGUGGUAAAAUGCGUAAAUAUAUGGAGGAACACCAGUAGCGAAGGCGGCUUGCUGGGUCUUUACUGACGCUGAGGCACGAAAGCGUGGGGAGCAAACAGGAUUAGAUACCCUGGUAGUCCACGCCGUAAACGAUGAGUACUAAACGUUGGGUAAAACCAGUGUUGAAGUUAACACAUUAAGUACUCCGCCUGAGUAGUACGUACGCAAGUAUGAAACUUAAAGGAAUUGACGGGACUCCGCACAAGCGGUGGAUCAUGUUGUUUAAUUCGAAGGUACCCGAAAAACCUCACCAGGUCUUGACAUGCUUCUGCAAAGCUGUAGAAACACAGUGGAGGUUAUCAGUUGCACAGGUGGUGCAUGGUUGUCGUCAGCUCGUGUCGUGAGAUGUUGGGUUAAGUCCCGCAACGAGCGCAACCCUUAUUGUUAGUUGCCAGCACGUAAUGGUGGGGACUUUAGCAAGACUGCCAGUGAUAAAUUGGAGGAAGGUGGGGACGACGUCAAAUCAUCAUGCCCCUUAUGACCUGGGCUACAAACGUGAUACAAUGGC